CACGUAGGGUGCGAGCGUUGUCCGGAAUUAUUGGGCGUAAAGAGCUCGUAGGCGGUGUGUCGCGUCGGCCGUGAAAACUUGCAGCUUAACUGUGGGCGUGCGGUCGAUACGGGCAUCACUGGAGUUCGGCAGGGGAGACUGGAAUUCCUGGUGUAGCGGUGAAAUGCGCAGAUAUCAGGAGGAACACCGGUGGCGAAGGCGGGCCUCUGGGCCGAUACUGACGCUGAGGAGCGAAAGCGUGGGGAGCAAACAGG
rnacentral:rRNA from 1 species